UUUGGUGACUUUAUUUUGUGAUUGGCUUUGU
rnacentral:piRNA from 1 species